rnacentral:tRNA from 1 species
GGGUAUAGCUCAAGCGGUAGAGCACAUGCUUAGCAUGCACGAGGUCCUGGGUUCAAUUCCCAGUAUGUCCA